rnacentral:rRNA from 1 species
ACAGUCACUGACAUUAGAUACCCGCGUAGUCCCAGCCGUAAACUAUGCUCGCUAGGUGUCAGGCAUGGCGCGACCGUGUCUGGUGCCGCAGGGAAGCCGUGAAGCGAGCCACCUGGGAAGUACGGCCGCAAGGCUGAAACUUAAAGGAAUUGGCGGGGGAGCACAACAACGGGUGGAGCCUGCGGUUUAAUUGGACUCAACGCCGGACAACUCACCGGGAACGACAGCAAUAUGUAGGCCAGGCUGAAGACCUUGCCUGAAUCGCUG